rnacentral:rRNA from 1 species
UUUCGGAUGGAUCUUAGAUUGACUGAGCGGCGGACGGGUGAGUAACGCGUGGAUAACCUGCCUCACACAGGGGGAUAACAGUUAGAAAUGACUGCUAAUACCGCAUAAGCGCACAGUACCGCAUGGUACAGUGUGAAAAACUCCGGUGGUGUGGGAUGGACCCGCGUCUGAUUAGCUAGUUGGCAGGGUAACGGCCUACCAAGACGACGAUCAGUAGCCGACCUGAGAGGGUGACCGGCCACAUUGGGACUGAGACACGGCCCAAACUCC